rnacentral:rRNA from 1 species
AGAGUUUGAUCCUGGCUCAGAAUGAACGCUGGCGGCGUGCUUAACACAUGCAAGUCGAACGAGAAAGGGAUUGCUUGCAGUCCCGAGUAGAGUGGCGCACGGGUGAGUAACACGUAGAUAAUCUGCCUUCAAGCCUGGGAUAACUAUUCGAAAGGGUAGCUAAUACCGGAUAAAGUCGAUCUACACAAGUAGAUUGAUGAAAGAUUGCCUCUUCUUGAAAGCAAUUGUUUGGAGAUGAGUUUGCGUACCAUUAGCUUGUUGGUGGGGUAAAGGCCUACCAAGGCAACGAUGGUUAGCUGGUCUGAGAGGAUGAUCAGCCACACUGGAACUGGAACACGGUCCAGACUCCUACGGGAGGCAGCAGUGAGGAAUUUUGCGCAAUGGGGGCAACCCUGACGCAGCAACGCCGCGUGAGUGAAGAAGGCCUUUGGGUCGUAAAACUCUGUCAACAGGGAAGAAGUUACAAUUGUUUAAUAGAUGGUUGUAUUGACGGUACCUGUGGAGGAAGCGCCGGCUAACUCCGUGCCAGCAGCCGCGGUAAUACGGGGGGCGCAAGCGUUAUUCGGAAUUAUUGGGCGUAAAGGGCGCGCAGGCGGUCUUGUCCGUCAGGUGUGAAAGCUCGGGGCUCAACCCCGGAAGUGCACUUGAAACAGCAAGACUUGAAUACGGGAGAGGAAAGCGGAAUUCCUGGUGUAGAGGUGAAAUUCGUAGAUAUCAGGAGGAACACCGAUGGCGAAGGCAGCUUUCUGGACCGAUAUUGACGCUGAGGCGCGAAGGCGUGGGUAGCAAACGGGAUUAGAUACCCUGGUAGUCG